AACGAACGCUGGCGGCAUGCCUAACACAUGCAAGUCGAACGAAACGUCCGGGCCUAGUGGCGCACGUCUGCGUAACGCGUGGGGACCUGCCCUUGGGUACGGAAUAACUGACCGAAAGGGAUCCUAAUAAAGGAUAGUGUCUUCGGACCAAAGAUUUAUUGCCGCUGGAUGGGCCCGCGUUAGAUUCGGUGGUUGGUAGGGUAAUAGCCUACCAAGGGCACGAUGCAUAGCUGGUCUGAGAGGAUGAUUAUCCACACUUGGACUACGACACGGCCCAGACUCCUACGCAACGCAGCAGUGGGGAAUAUUGGACGAUGGGGGAAAGCCUGAUCCAGCAAUGCCGGGUAAGUGAUGAAGGCCUUAGGGUUCUAAAGCUCUUUUACCCGGGAUGAUAAUGACGGUACCGGGUGAAUAAGCUCCGGCUAACUACGUG
rnacentral:rRNA from 1 species